AAGUACUCUCCUGCCUGUGUUUCUGAUCGCCUUUGCUGUAGUGGUCCAGUCUUCCGGAAGCUCCUCCUGUCCAACAAGAGCCUGUCUCACCUCUUCUCAAAAGUGCUUUUAGCACUUUAUAUGUUGUGCUUGGCUUGGCUUGGCUGAGGCUCCAUAACCCCAGCAUCGACUGGACCGUCCCCAAUAUCACCUCAUGGAGAAACUUCUGUCAUAAGAACUACUUGCGAUUUUUCCAAAGUCUGAGUCGCCAAGUACUUCAGUGACUCCCUGAGAACAAGCUCUUCAUCAAAGCAGAGAAAUGUGAGUUCCAUGUUCCAAAGACCACCUUUCUGGGUUACGUUAUUGCUGAGGGGCAGCUUCAAAUGGACCCAGCCAAGGUAGCCGCGCUCACCGAGUGGCCAACGCCAUCCACACGAAAGGAGCUGCAACGGUUCCUUGGCUUCGCCAACUUCUAUCGGCGGUUCAUUCGGAACUACAGUCGGGUUGCAGCACCCCUCAAUUCCCUCACAUCAACCCUAAUAUCAUUCUAUUGAGAAAAAUUAUGGGAUUGGAGACCGGGAGCUCGUGGCAGUGAAGAUGGCGUUGGAGGAAUGGCAGCAUUUCCUGGAAGGCGCCAAACACCCAUUCAUCGUGUGGACCGACCACAAGAAUUUGGAAUACAUCCGCUGUGCCAAGAGGCUGAGCUCCCGUCAAGCCAGGUGGGUAUUGUUUUUUGACCGGUUCACAUUCACCUUGUCCUACCGCCCAGGGGCCCAGAACACCAAGCCCGAUGCCCUGUCUCGCCAGUUCACUUCAGAAAGUACCAAAGAUGAUCCUGAUCUCAUCUUGUCUCCCCAUCUUGUCUUGUUACUUUCUGCGCUCAAUCACACUAGAAAUAGAAACACUGGUAAAGGAGGCCAAGGAAGAGCAAGCCGAUCUUGGUCCUCGGAACUCCUUGUUUGUCCCUGAUUCGGUACGCCCCCAGGUGCUACAGUGGGCCCAUUCAUCACGACUUACCUUUCACCCUGGGAUCCGCAGAACGUUGGCCUUCCACCGUCAACGCUUCUGGUGGCCCACCAUGGAAGACAACACCCGGUCCUUUGUCUCUGCAUGCACGGUAUGUGCUCGAAAUAAGACAUCCUCUAAGCAAAGCUCUGGUCUACUUUGUUCGCUUCCCAUUCCCAGAUGCCAUUGGUUGGACAUCGCCCUGGACGUUGUUUCUGGGCUUCCCUUGUCCAAUGGAAACACAGUCAUUCUCACUGUGGUGGACAGCUUUUCCAAAGCAGCACACUUCCUUGCACUUCCCAAGCUUCCAUCUGCCAAAGAGACUGCCACCUGUUGGUCCAGCAUGUUUUCCGCCUGCAUGGCAUCCCUUCUGACAUAGUCUCUGACCGGGGCCCCCAAUUCACCUCGCAGGUUUGGAGAGUGUUUUGCACAGCGCUUUGUAUAGGUGUUAGUCCAUUCUCUGGUUAUCAACCUCAGACCAACGGGCAAUGUGAGCACACCAACCAACAGCUGGAGACGGCGCUCUGUUGCAUGCCCCAGUCCCAUUCCGCUUCGUGGAGCACCCAUCUUGCCUGGGUUGAGUAUGCCCAUAAUUCACUGUCUAGCACCUCCGUGGCCAUGUCCCCUUUUCAAUGCUCCUUAGGCUAGCAACCACUGUUGUUCCUGUCACAGGCUUGCAGUUCCUUCGGUGCAGGCCUGCAUACGCCGAUGCUCCAAGGUCUGGAAACUCGUGUCGCCCUUCUCUGGUCCUCUGCCAAAUCUCAGGUACAAACCAACUUUCACUGCAUCCCUGUGCCUGCUUACACUGUUUGUCAAAAAGUGUGGCUCAGUACAAAGAAUCUACCGCUCAAGGUUGAAUCGAAAAAAACUUUCCUCCCGCUUCAUUGGCCCUUGUGACAUUGUGGCUGUGGUAAAUCCAUGUGCAGUGCGCUUUAAGCUCCCUGAUACUCUUUGCAUUCACCCCACCUUCCAUGUUUCCCAGAUAAAGCCGGUUUCUUCCAGUCUUCUGUGCUGCCCCCUCCUCCUCCCCUGGUGGUCGGAGGACAUCCCGCUUGGGCCGUGAACAGGCUCCUGGCUGUGCGUCGCGGCCUCCAAUAUGUGGUCGACUGGAAGGGCUAUGGUCUGGAGGAGUUGACUUGGGUCCCUGCGGGGCUGAUCCUGAGCAAAUCGUUGGUCCGCGACUUUCAUCGAGCCCACCCCGAUUGCUUGGCUCGUAAGCCGGGUGGCGUCCGUGGGAGGAGGGGACUGUCAGUGCUGCUGUUUCAGCUCCCUGACUCCAGCACUUGAGUGAGUGUGUGUGUGUGUGUGUCUGGGUGCAUCAUGAGUGCUUUGCAAGGUGGACGUGUUGGAGUGUAGCAGCUGCAUCUUAUCAUCCUAAUUACGCCUGACUACUCUUAAGACACUGUGGGACUCCAACUCCUCACCAGACUAUCAAUGCUCUACUUCGAUCUGUCGUCUGCCCUUGCUCCCUGCAAACCAGCGCUCACCUCCUGUGGCCCACCAACAACCCGGACUCCGACCCUGCCAAACUGGUCCUCUUUGGAACCCUGCCUACCCCAGAUCGAGUUCUCGGACCCCCUCUUUGUUUGCUUUCAAUCUACAAUAAAUAUUUGUUCACAAACUACCCUCCCUUUCCUCUCUGCAUCUGGGUCCAACUCGCAAUCUGAAACCUGACAAGCACACA